AGCCUAUAUAUAAUAUAAAUUAUAUUAAUAUAAAUAUGUACACGUAAAUACAUUUAAAUAUUUUGAAAAAAUAUAUGUCAGGAUUGGACUGUCUUUGUUGUGUUUUUCCCUCACGUGCCCUUAUUUGGUCGUUCCUGUUCCUGUCCUCGUUGUCUCUUAAUUAGCAAUUCUGUUCACCUGUGCUCCUCCCAAAGUCAUGUAUUUAGUUUCAGUCUGUGUGGACUCCUUCGUUCUUUCCAGUAGCGUAUUGUGACAAUAUACCGUAUGUGUGUAUAUUUAUAUAUAAAUAAUAAAUAUACACAGUACACACACAUAUAUUAUGUAAACAAAAACUUUUAUUUUAGAUGCGAUUAAUCGCGAUUAAUCAUUUGACAGCACUAACAUACAGUAUAUAUAUAUAUAUAUACAGUGGGUAAAAUAAUUAUUGAACACGUCGCCAUUUUUUUCAGUAAAUGUAUUUCUAUAGAUGCUGUUAACAUGACAUUUUCACCAGAUGUUGAUAACAACACAAGUAAUACAUUAAUACAAAUAAAAGUUCUGUGGGCCUUUUCUAUGAACUCUGAUCUUUAGUUCUUAUUUUCUAUUUGUCACGAUCUGAGGGGUAUUGCACAAAAGUAGAAUUAAGAAAGCCAGGAUAACAGAAAAGGCGCGUCUUGACCUAGUUCAAUCAGCACAUUCUGGCUUAGUCUGUUGCACAUUUGCUAAGCCAGGAUGAGAGUGUGCAGCUAUGUCAAGCCAAGUGUAGAUAGUUGAGAUAAGUGCACGUUCACGGCAUUCUGAAACAGACCACGGGAUCGAUCACAGAAUCAAUGAUGCAAAAAUGGAUAAAACCUGUGCGGCAUACUUCUCGCCAACUGAGCAACAGCUUCUAAUGGAAACAUAUGAAGAGCUGAAACAUAUAAUAUGUAAAAAGGGAAAUACAGCUUCUUUAAUAUAACAAAGACAAAGUUUUAUUUCAGAUUAUAGAUUAGAUAAAAUCAAUUAGAUAGAAAAAAACCUAAAUAAAAAUAGAUAAAAGAGAUAGAUGCAAUAGAUUAAAUAGACAGAUAAAAAUGAGCAAAAUAGAUCAAAUACUGUAGAUGCGCAUAGUGUAUAAGUGUUUGCAAUUAAUCAUACAUGUGCUUGCAUAAGUAACAUGCAUGUCCACUGGUCACAUUUAAGGCAAAGUGUCCAACUGUUAAUUCUGGAUGUCUCCAAAGAAGAACUGCAGGAGUACAUCCGCACUCAGUACAGUGACCCAGCAAGGAACAAUCCGCUAGAUUUGCCAGGGUAUGUUCCCAGACCCUCAGAACCAUCAGCCCUGUUUGACAUAUCUCCACCAAAGUUUAGCGAGAUCAGGCAGGUGAUCCGGCGGGCAAGAUCUGCUUCAGCACCAGGCCCGAAUGGAAUACCGUACAAGCUGUAUAAGAGCUGCCCAGCAGUGCUGAAGCUGUUAUGGUCCCUGAUGAGAAUCACCUGGACUAAGCAGACUAUACCAUCUGAGUGGCAGAGGGCAGUGGCAGUCUCUAUUCCCAAACAACAGAAUGCUAAGACCAUCGAGCAGCAUACGGAGAACAACUACAUCGAUACCUUCAGAUACCACCUGUCAGAAAGCCGGGAUCCCAGGCUUUCCUGGCUGUGUAGAGCAUGCUUCCAUGAUUUGGGAACAGAUCCAAACCACCAAGAGGAAGAAGAAAGAUCUGCACGUUAUAUGGCUAGACCUAGCCAAUGCCUAUGGGUCAGUGCCACACCUGCUCAUAGCCUAUGCUUUGGAAUUCUUCUACAUUCCAGACAACAUCAGGACCAUGAUCAUGAACUACUACCAGGACAUGCACAUGUGUUUUGCACUGAAGAAAGUCACCACUGGUUGGCAAAAACUGGAAGUAGGGAUCGCAAUGGGAUGCUCCAUUUCUCCCAUCCUCUUUGUGGCAGCAUUUGAGGUCAUCCUGAUCGGAGCAAGGCAGGUGGUGGGUGGAGUCCGGCUGCCUGCAGGUCAGAGGCUCCCACCCUUAAGGAGCUAUAUGGAUGACAUUACCUGCCUGCUACGAACCGCCCCAUGUACAACCAGGUUACUCAGGAGGUUGGAUGAGCUGAUCACCUGGGCCAGAAUGAAGUUCAAGCAACAGAAGUCAAGGAGCCUCUCAUUGCGAAAGGGGGAAAGAAACGACAGAGUCACCUUCACCAUCAGCAUCGUGGAUCAGCCCAUCUGAAGCCUGGGAAGACUUUAUACAUCAGGUCUCUCAGACAAGGAUAUGGGGAAAUUCAUCCUUCAGCAGUUGUCAGAAGGCCUGUCCAAGAUUGACGCAAGCCAGCUACCUGGAAAGUACAAGGUGUGGUGUUAUCACUUCACUUUGUACCCAAGGGUGAUGUGACCUCUGAAGCUGUGCGAAGUCACCUCAACAGCAGUAAGCCGGAUGGAGGCAAAAGCUAACUUUUUCAUUCGCAAAUGGCUUGGCCUACCACGGUGCUUCUCAGCUGCUGGUUUGUAUGGAUGGAAUUCCCUCCAGCUACCCCUGAAAUCCAUCAAAUUGGGCUAUAGGCAGGAGAAGGCAAGGCUGGUGAUGGAAUUAAGUGAUUCCUCUGACAGGGCAGUGGCUGAUGCAAAUGCCAGAGUUGAGACUGGAGGGAAAUGGAGGGAAGGAAGAGGUGCAGAGAGUGAUAGGAAGGCUGCAACACCAACAAAUUGUGGGAACGGUCCAGACAGGGAGGACAGGCCUUGGAUGGAGGGAGCCACCCAUCCUAUGGUCCAAGGCAAGUAGGAAGGAGAGGAAGGACCUAGUUGUUGCAGAGGUCACCACGAUUGAGCAGGAGGAGCUCAGAGUAAGGUCUGUGGCACAGGGGCAGCAGGGGUGGUGGACAACUUGGGUGGGUGUUACAAGCCGAGCAAUCAGCUGGGCAGAGUUCUGGAAACUGCCACAAGCCCGGCUCAGUUUCCUCAUUAGGGCAACAUAAAACACCCUACCGAGCCCAAAAACCCUCCACCAAUGGCUUGGUACAGAGCAAUCCUGUGACCUCUGCGGGACCAUCAAUGCCUCACUCCAGCAUGUUCUGUCCGGCUGUAAAACAGCACUAACACAGGGUCGGCUCAGAUGGCGGCAUGACCAAGUGCUUAGGAAGCUGGCAGAGGUGCUGGAGAAAAGUCGGCAGGAGGCAAAUAAUCAGAGUCCAUUAGAGAGUUGAUGUAGGAUCCACUUACUCAGGGAGGGGGAACCCGCAAUGCAUACCAGCAAGAGACCACCUGCCAAGUUAUUAACACCAGGGGCAGUGUGGAAGAUGGAAGUAGACCUGGGAAGGCAGCUCCAGUUCCCACAGGAAAUAUGCAGCACCACAUUAAGACCAGAUGUGGUGCUCUGGUCUGCAGCUGUGAAGUCAGUGAUAGUGAUCAAGCUGACAGUGCCAUGGGAGGAAGGACUCGAAGCUGCUUACGAGAGAAAGAAAGCGAAGUAUGCAGACUUGGUUGCAUAGUGCAGAGAAAGUGGAUGGAGAGUGAGGCUGUACCCGGUGGAGGUGGGAGCCAGAGGCUUUAUGGGCAGAUCAAUAUCAUGCCUGCUCAAGGACCUGGGAUUACGGGGAACCACACUGAGCAGAUCCACCAAAGAGCUCUCUGAGGAAGCGGAGAAAGCAAGCCAUUGGCUCUGGCUGAAACGAUGUGAUAAGGCUUGGGGAGUAACAUCUAAUUAGGUUUUGCUGCAGGGAGUGUCAGGGAGACGUCCCUGUUCACUGCCCCACCACCAGGAGAUGUUCUGGGUUAAGGGGCGAAACGUCAAUGAGCGGUGGUCCCCAGCUGAAGACCCUGCAGCAAAACCACAUGGUAUGCAGUCAGGUUUAGGCCUGCCUCAGGGAAAAGGACGCCCCUGCCAUGCAUAGUCCACCAUAGGCACCGUAGGAGGUGCGACAGGCCUCAAGGUCCAGCAGAAAGACCACCUCACUGUAAUGAAUGAGGGAAAUGACAAAUAACUCCUUGAAUUGUAAUUAUGAUGGCUUCAGUGGAGUACUGGUUAUUUGGACUACUUAUGCAUUCAGUUGGUCCGCUAUUGUCUGCCAGGCUUACCCACUUAUCCACUAUGCGUAUCUACAGUAUUUGAUCUAUUUUGUACAUUUUAUCUGUCUAUUUAAUCUAUCUCAUGUCUCUUUUAUCUAUUUAUAUCUGGCGCGGGGGGUGGCCCUCCAACCCAAGACUUGACCACAGCAGAGGAGCUGGCCCUGGAGUUGAAAGGGAAGCCAGUGAUGGAAGGGACACAGUGAGGGACAGCCACUGACUCUGGCCCAGCAAGAAAGACUGGCCUCUUCAUACAAGUGUCUGGUAACACACUUACAGUUCUGGAGCCACCAGACUAUGAUCCGCUGGUGACUUCUCUUUAUUAAAAUCAUAGGCUUGGCACAUCCUGUCAAAACUAUCAGUACAAGUUCUAUUGAAUAUGGCAGAGGGAAGGCACAUCUGACGAUGAUGAGAUCGUGUCACUGGACUCCAGAAGGCUUGAGAAAGCAACUCAUACAGGUUUGGAUAGAACUUCAAAAGAAGAAUCAGAUGAUCCAGAACAUAUAAAGUUCCUCUGAGUUCUCAGUCUCAGCCCUGGCUUCCUCAUCCGCCAUGGUGGUCUUCUGCUCCAUUGUGGGGAUCUUCGGACCCAUCUGCUCUGCUAUUGUGGCCAUCUGCUCCACCCUGGUGGUCCUCAGUUCUGCCGGCUCCACCCUGAUGCUCUGCUCUGGUACUCUUCAGCUCCGCCCUGAUUCCCUGUUCCGCCGGCUCUGCCUCGGGAAUCAGGUUCUCUUCCUGCACAUGAACCUGGUCCUCCAUCCCUCCCCCGUUCCGCCUCCGCUCCCCUUUCUUUCUGGAUUAUACUGUUGGGAGCGUCUGGAAGCCACUCCUUUGGGGAGGGCUCUGUCACGAUCCGUUCCCUGCUCACAACCAGAGGUUGCCACUCAGACAUUCACCCUGGACUCCAUUUCCCAAGAUCCCCUCUGAUUACUCACUCGCCUGUUUCCAAUAACCCGGACACCAUAAAAGUUGCACUCGCUCACAUACAGGGCCUGAGUAUUGAUUAGCCUAGCUGCCAUACCAAGUGUUUGUAUUCUGUUUCCUAGUCUUGUUGUUCUGACCCUAGCCUGUUUCUCACCUUUGAUCACUUGCUGCUUGCCUUUUUUGACUAUUGCCUGUAUUGGAUUAUUCUCUUGCCUUGCCCUAUGGACACUGGUUGCUGGUGUAUGACCUUUGCCUGUCUGACUAUGCUCUUUGUUUGAAUAAAAGCUGCAAUUGGAUCUGACCUUGCCUAAACGACCCUGAUCAUUACACUAUUGAAUUCAAGUCAGGUGAUUGGCUGGGCCACUCUAGCAGCUUUAUUUUCUUUUUCUGAAACCAAUCGCAAGUUUCCUUGGCUGUGUUUGGGACCAGUGUCUUGCUGAAAUGUCUACCCUAGUUUCAUCUUCAUCCUGGUACUGUAGGGGUUGGGACUGAACCAGCUAAUAUUAAUUUCCACUGACAAGAGGCAGUAU
ensembl:lncRNA